UCCCCAUUUGCCUUCUGUGGCACUUCCC
rnacentral:piRNA from 1 species